GCCUGGCUGGCUUAGUCGGUAAGACAUGUGACUCUUGAUCUCAGGGUUGUGAGUUCAAGCCACAUGCUAGGUG
rnacentral:tRNA from 1 species